rnacentral:rRNA from 1 species
UACGUAGGGGGGCAAGCGUUGUCCGGAUUCAUUGGGCGUAAAGAGCGUGUAGGCGGCCAGGUAGGUCGGUUGUGAAAACUGGAGGCUCAACCUUCAGAGGUCGACCGAAACCAUCUGGCUAGAGUCCGGGAGAGGAGAGUGGAAUUCCUGGUGUAGCGGUGGAAUGCGUAGAGAUCGGGAAGAACAUCAGUGGCGAAGGCGGUCUGCUGGGCCGUUGCUGACGCUGAGGCGCGACAGCGUGGGGAGCAAACAGG